GAUUAUAAAAGAUAUCAAAUGUAAAUGGCAGACUUACAUUCUUGACAUACUGUUCCGUAUGUAAGAAUAAAGAAGGAAUGCCAUUAAUAGCUACGGGGUCAUCUUUAUUGAUUCGAUAACGACGAUUACAAAGAUUUGCAGCCAAGAUCCAAACAUUCUCUUGCUUUUCCUCAGAAACCUUUCUCUUGUUCUUCUGUCUCUUUCGGAUGGAGGAGAGAAAAAGCCCCCUUUCUUGUUCUCUUCCCUCCUAUAUAUACGUUUUUUCCCCAUAACUCAAUAAUUCCAAUGCUAGAGGAGUCCAAAUGGAAGUAUUUUGCUCUUCAGGCUUUCUUUGUUUUACUGCCCUCCCUAUGAAAGAAAAUGAAAAUGGAGAACUAGGGACUAUGGCUAGCCAGAAAUUGGUAGAAGAAUACCAGAUUGCUUGGAUGAAACUUUUGUCAAUGUAUAAUCUUCAGAGGAGAACUGGAACAACAUCAAGUAAUUAACUUUAGAGUUUGUGGUAAAUAAUUCGGUAAUUCCUUUUGAAUUUCUCCAUAGGAAGGGAGAAGCAAGAAAGAUUAUGUAAUUGUGUAGUAACGUAAAAGAGUAAUUACAUGUGCUUCUUUGCUUUUUCUAUCCAGUGCAAUAGGUUUCUGAAGUUUUGUAAAUGCCUAUUUUAGUGAAAAGUAGUAAUACUAAAGAAUUCA